UUUUGACAGUUCGGUAAGAGGUUGUUUAUGUUCUCAGACCUACGGCAUGUGAACUCGUGUAGAAACAAACAUUGUAAAUCUGUGUCGCGCAAUAGAGUUGUGAAAAAUCACUAGAUUUGUACAAAGCAUAUCGUUUAUAUUGAUCUAAGUACAUCAAACGGCUUUCUAAAAAGUGAGCAUCAUGUCAACAUGCGCUGCAUCCUUUUGCCAACACAGCCGCUACAUGGUGAAAAAAAUGGGUCUGGAUGUAAUUUUUCAUAAAUUUCCAACCGACCCAACGCUAUUAUGCAAAUGGGUAGAAUCAACGAGAGGAUGCUUGGGUGCCAUCGAUAAGCAGCAUUUUAUGUUCAGCACAUUUCAACAAAACUGACUACCAGCUAAUCAAUUCGCCUUCGAAGGCUAAUAGAAAAAUUUUAAAAAAGCUUAAGCCGUCUGGGUUCAUACAUGUAGCUGCUGUUUCUCCGACGUUUCGCCCAACGUCGAUGUUUUACUCCGAAUCGAGUUCAUGUUUUCCUUCGUAGACCAUAAGGUUACUCCGACUUUUAAGUAUUGAACGAGUUAUUAGGAACGCAAUGAUAAGCAACCAGAAAGUAAAUAAUCAAGUUCAUUAUUAAAACCAGGUCUAAUUAUCGUGAACGAUUCGCAAAGACUAAUAUGAUCUGCAUACAUCAUCUACAUCAGUGGUCUCCAACCUGUGGUCCGUUGCGUUAACAGACGUGGUCCACGAAAGAAUUAUUUUUGAAAAAGAAAAGCUUAAUACUAUAGCUUAUCGUACACAAUCAUUAUAAAAUGAGAUUUAAACAUAUUUUUGAUCAAAAACAUUAAGCAAAGUUAAAAAAAGUAUGCACUCAUUAGAUGUGGGCCGCGGCAAAUGUAUUUUCAAGCCAAGUGGUCCGCGAUCCUAAAAAGGUUGGAGAGCACUGAUCUACAUCAUUGCACACAUCUUGCUUUCUCAAACUUCCUCCUCAAAUUGUGCCAUUAACCCUUACCGUUUUAAAUUUUGUUUGCUUCGUUGUUCCCAGUUGCUUCAUUAAAAUGUGCGCAACAUAUCUUCUUACAGGUCAUCCACCACAUCCGAAGUUCUAUUUUACUUUAUGUGAUUUUAGUACUAUUUUCAUUUCUGACAUCCGUUCAACGCAGGUUUUACAGGAAAGAGCUUCUUUUUAAAAUCCUGCGAUUGAUUUGUUCGUAAAAUCCUACCGUGUAUGCUUCCGCCGUGAAUCGCUCCGGUGCGAUACUUUUCGAUGUUCAUAUAGAUCUGCACAUACAUUCAUUUAUUUUUGGUAAUCGAUGGUUUGUCCGCCAGUUCACCAUCGACCGAAUUGUCUUAUACAGUAAUUCAACAUACAUGACGGUAUCGUUGCUGUUCGAUUCCAUUGUAGCAGAAGGCUUAGCAGAAGGUCCCUUUGAAACGUUGCUUUCGUUUUUGUUCGAUUUUUCUGCAAGAGAAAAUGUGGAAGUUGAUUCAAGUGGCAGUCCCACUACUCCUCGCGAAGCCGUUGGCUUUGGGUUUGAUUCAAUUUUCUUGUCUUCUUUUGGUACUUGAAUCAGUUUUCCUGUGUAUAUCAGAUUAUUUAUUGACUCAUUAUGAAGCACACUUUGUUACGCACCAUUGUGUACCUAGUAUAUUUGCAAAUAAAAAAAAUCAUAAUUAAACUACAUAAAUUCUUGCCUUUCCUAAUGCCAUCGAAGUAACUUUGAUUUUGGAUACUGUCGCCAUGUAGUAGCUGUGAACUCGUGCUCGCCAGAGUGACCUUCAAACAUAGUUAAAGAAGGUAAUCGUUGCGAAAGAAGGUUACAAGUUACAAGUUAUAAACAGUCGCUUUUUGCGUGAUUAGUUGCUAUGCAUUCUCGAUUCACCUACUUUUCUAUAAGUGUGUAUCAAUUGCUUUUGUAUGAAUGGUGUGGCCUGCUUUAUUCCUUAACUGGUACUAUACAAAUUAUUAUACAAAUAAUAAUAAUAAUGAUAAAAAGUUAUUAUAAGUCAAAUAUAAGGUAAAAAUUAUAAUAAUUUAAGACUCUUUUUCUUCAAUGAUGCACAAAACAAAAGCUUAGAUUGAAAUAUUACUAUUCUAUGCUCGAAAGUGAUAAAUAACGGAUGGGAAUUAACGUAGAUAAGUGAAACGGUAAUAUUUUGCUGAAUCAUCUAUUUGUCUACAAAGACUAUUAUACAUAACUUUAAGCGCUUAGUUGUAACAAUAACAGUUAUUCACAUAUAAAAAAUGUAAUAAAUAUUUCUUAAAUAAAAAAUACAUAAAUAUGAGGCA